AGAGGUUUACGUGUCCUGGCGUCAGGAGUGAACGCUGCGGCGUGCCUAACACAUGCAAGUCGAACGGGCGGCGGCGUGCGGGCAGGGGCCGUCGGCCCCUCGCGGCGUCGCGCGAGUGGCGGACGGGUGAGUAACGCGUGGGCGAACCUGCCCUGUACUGGGGAGUAACACCUGGAAACAGGUGCUAAUACCGCAUAAGCGCGCAGUGCCGCAUGGCACGGCGCGGAAAACCCCGGUGGUACAGGAUGGGCCCGCGUCUGAUUAGCUGGUUGGCAGGGUAACGGCCUACCAAGGCGACGAUCAGUAGCCGGCCUGAGAGGGUGGACGGCCACACUGGGACUGAGACACGGCCCAGACUCCUACGGGAGGCAGCAGUGGGGGAUAUUGCACAAUGGGGGGAACCCUGAUGCAGCGACGCCGCGUGGGUGAAGGAGCGUUUCGGCGCGUAAAAGCCCUAUCGGCAGGGAAGAAGAUGACGGUACCUGACCAAGAAGCCCCGGCUAACUACGUG
rnacentral:rRNA from 1 species